rnacentral:rRNA from 1 species
AAUUCGAUUGAGUUUGAUCAUGGCUCAGAAUGAACGUUGGCGGCGUGGAUUAGGCAUGCAAGUCGGACGGGCCGCAAGGCCAGUGGCGCAAGGGUGAGUAAGGCGACGGUAACCAACCCCGAGGGUGGGCAUAGCCGGGGGAAACUCCGGGUAAUUCCCAGCGAUGUGUCCGACCGGCAUCGGUUGGACACCAAAGAUUUAUCGCCUCGGGACGGGCCGUUGUGGUAUUAGCUUGUUGGCGGGGUGACGGCCCACCAAGGCAUCGAUGCCUACCGGGCGUGCGAGCGUGGCCCGGCACACUGGGACUGAGACACUGCCCAGACUCCUACGGGAGGCUGCAGUCGAGAAUCUUCGGCAAUGGGCGCAAGCCUGACCAAGCGACGCCGCGUGGAGGACGAAGGCCUUCGGGUUGUAAACUCCUGUCGAGGGGGAGGAAGGCGCAAGCUUGACCGAUCCCUGGAGGAAGCACGGGCUAAGUUCGUGCCAGCAGCCGCGGUAAGACGAACCGUGCGAACGUUAUUCGGAAUCACUGGGCUUAUAGCGCGUGUAGGCGGGCCGCCACGUCGGCUGCUGAAAUCCCCCGGCUCAACCGGGGAACGGGCACCGAUACGAGCGGCCUCGAGGGGGGUAGGGGGCACUGGAACUUCCGGUGGAGCGGUGAAAUGCGUUGAGAUCGGAAGGAACGCCCGUGGCGAAAGCGAGUGCCUGGACCCUUUCUGACGCUGANACGCGAAAGCCAGGGGAGCGAACGGGAUUAGAUACCCCGGUAGUCCUGGCCGUAAACGAUGAACACUGGGUA